AAUUACUUUGGUUUCGAAGGAACUCAUGCACAAUAACCUGCUAACUCCCAAAGUGAAAAUACGGACUUGCUCCUUGUUCAUUUCCAGGUCCACUGGACUGGAGCCAUAAAUGAAGAGUUUUGGCUCAUUAGGAAGGACAGAUUAUCGGGCAUGGUGUGGAGCCACCCAUGCUUUAUGAGGCUGGGAAUGAGUUACACAAAGUCCCGCAGAGUGAGAAAGGAAGAUGUUUGGAAAUAUUUUUCUGCUUAAAGCUCUGAGAUUGCAAGGGUUUUCUUAGCCCUGUGGAAUUUCUCUAAGUGCCUGGGGAUUUCUAGGUUUCUAAGAAGCUUGAGGUGGUUGUUAACCUAAUACACAGUUGAAGGGAGCCAAGACAGCCUUCCUAUGCCAGCUGUGUGGUAGGACGUCUUCUUAAAAGGCUCUUUAAAAUCAGUGAGAGAGAUUCCAUGGUUCACCACCCAGAACAAGGUGCUUUCUUCCAUCUCAUAUGCCAAAAAAGCACUGAAAAUCCAGAGCACCAUUACUGAUUGGAAGACCAAAGGCUUGAUCUAGAAAUCACACACCAGGAGUUGUCUCACAUGGUUAUGGAGGCUGAGAAGUCCCACGAUCUGUAUCUGUAAGCUGGAGAACCAAGAAAGGCAGUGGUGUAAUUCAGUAUAAGUCCACAGGCCUGAAUUGGGUGGUGAGGUGGGCAAUGUUGUAAAUUCCAGUCUGAGUCUGAAAGCCCAAGAACCAGAAGUGCUGACAUCCAAGGGCAGGAGAAGAUGGGUGCCUCAGCUCCAGCAGAGACAGCAAGUUUGCCCUUCCUCCGCCUUUUUGUUCUUUUCAGGCCUUCAGUGGAUUGGGUGACACCUUCCCGAUUGACAGAAGGGGCCACCUGGAAAGGAAUGCGGGCAGCCUCUAGAAGCUGCAAAAGGCAAGACAACAGAUUCUUCUUUAGAGCCUCAAGAAAGGAACACAGCCCUGCUGAUAAUUUGAUGCAUCUGCCCAUCCCAUGAUGACUUCUCCCCUGCAAAGCCAACUGCCUUCUCUCCUUACCAGCCUCCCCACCAAUGAAGUGGGCCGGGGUAGGGGACCAUUGUGUUGCUGUGACCCGUGCCUCCACCUAUGCCUAACCUCUGCCACAGCUGAAUGAACAGGACUAGCACUAGAUUCAAGAGCAGCAUGAUCUCAGGAAAUGAUAGGAUGGAUUACAAACCCCCAUCGGCACUAAGGAUUCCUAGCCAAUCAUCCGGGACUAUUGCUUCAGCAAAGAGAGAGUCUUUGAGCAAAGGCCUGCCUUCACCAUUCUCCCGAGCAGCAGCACAUCUCUUCAGAAAUCUCAAUCUAAUGGGGGAAAGAAGGCUUCUCCCACGCCUGACGUCUUCAAAGAUGGCAACUAGGAAUCCAGAUUAUAUGCAGAACUUCUCUUCCUCCAGGAUGGGUACAGUGGAGCAAAGUUAUAGAUGGACCAGAAAGGCAGCUCAGGAUGGAGAAUAAAGUUUCAGGAAAUUCAGCAAAGUGAGCCCACUGGGAAUUUUUUAAAAUUCUAGGCCAAUGAUUGGAUAGGAAUACAGUCAGUGUUCCCAGUGUGAAGACUUUCCCUUCUGGCUAUUGAUCUUGCAGCAAUCAGACAGCUGUUUGCAGGGGAAUGAUCACUCUUUUCCUUUACAUAAUAUUCAUAAAUGUGCAGGCAAAUUAAAUGUGUCAUAGAUGAGAUUACCAACCAGAGUACCACCCGGCUGUCUCAUGUGAGCUUGGUUUAUGGAUCCAGUGUUCUCCAGCGAGCAUCACAAAUCCACAUAAUGUUCCCAAGUGCUAAAUUUGGAGCUCUGAUUUAGCUGACAGAUGUUUAAAAUCACAUUUAGUUGGACAACUCCCUGAGGAGGACACAGCUGCAGAUGUGAAAGAGAGCAAGUUAUUCCAGUUAAGGUCGGCGGGAACUCAGCCUGAAAACCUUCCGUCUCGAUCCGCCUUCUUCAGACAGGAUGAUAUGGGUGAAGGAACAUUUUCAUGCUGAUUCCACCCACCUUUGGCCAAACCUCAUCCCUUUGUUGAAUGGUUGCCAAGAUAAAUGCAGAAGUUGCAUCUUAGGCAAAGUGUGGGCUGCUCCAGUCAGCUGAAAUUGAGUAAAAGGGUGCUGCUAGCCCUUUAAAAACAGGCACAAAGCCACAUUUUGGAGCCUGCUUUGCCCCUGUGGUGGCAUCUGAGGCCUGCAAAUGAGUAUGAUUCUGGAAUUUUGCACUUCAGGAUCAGUUAUUCAGAUGGAUAGUUGAAGUCCAUGUGCUGAAUGAGGACAGAGAGGAAAAUGGUGCCAUUUACCCUCCCCCCACCCCAACAUCCCAAACAGCUCUCCUUCAUUUUUUAAAAACAACAAAAUUAAAAUUAUCCUGGAAUCUUCUUUGCAAAAAUCACAUAUUUUAGACUUGUUUCAAGACUCAGACUGAAACGAAUUUGUUUAAAAAAAAUUGUCUGUAUUUGAUGUGGGAGACUAGUGACCUUUGGUAUUUUGUG
ensembl:lncRNA